rnacentral:rRNA from 1 species
GAUAGUACCUUACUACUUGGAUAACCGUGGUAAUUCUAGAGCUAAUACAUGCUUAAAACCCCGACUUCGGAAGGGGUGUAUUUAUUAGAUAAAAAACCAACGCCCUUCGGGGCUUCUUGGUGAUUCAUGAUAACUUUACGGAUCGCAUGGCCUUGCGCCGGCGACGGUUCAUUCAAAUUUCUGCCCUAUCAACUUUCGAUGGUAAGGUAUUGGCUUACCAUGGUUUCAACGGGUAACGGGGAAUUAGGGUUCGAUUCCGGAGAGGGAGCCUGAGAAACGGCUACCACAUCCAAGGAAGGCAGCAGGCGCGCAAAUUACCCAAUCCCGACACGGGGAGGUAGUGACAAUAAAUACUGAUACAGGGCUCUUUUGGGUCUUGUAAUUGGAAUGAGUACAAUUUAAACCUCUUAACGAGGAACAAUUGGAGGGCAAGUCUGGUGCCAGCAGCCGCGGUAAUUCCAGCUCCAAUAGCGUAUAUUAAAGUUGUUGCAGUUAAAAAGCUCGUAGUUGAAACUUGGGUCUGGCUGGUAGGUCCGCCUCACCGCGUGUACUUGUCCGGCCGGGCCUUCCUUCUGGAGAACCUCAUGCCCUUCACUGGGCGUGUUGGGGACCAGGACUUUUACUUUGAAAAAAUUAGAGUGUUCAAAGCAGGCCUUUGCUCGAAUACGUUAGCAUGGAAUAAUAGAAUAGGACGUGCGGUCCUAUUUUGUUGGUUUCUAGGACCGCCGUAAUGAUUAAUAGGGACAGUCGGGGGCAUCAGUAUUCAAUUGUCAGAGGUGAAAUUCUUGGAUUUAUUGAAGACUAACUACUGCGAAAGCAUUUGCCAAGGAUGUUUUCAUUAAUCAGUGAACGAAAGUUAGGGGAUCGAAGACGAUCAGAUACCGUCGUAGUCUUAACCGUAAACUAUGCCGACUAGGGAUCGGGCGAUGUUCUUUUUCUGACUCGCUC